GGGCGGCGUGCGUUUAGAAACUCCAGCGAAGGGAUGGUCUUGAACUCUUAAUCAGCGGGUCCCAGGUUCGAGCCCUGGUGCGCCCACCA
rnacentral:tRNA from 1 species